rnacentral:rRNA from 1 species
AGGACGAACGCUGGCGGCGUGCUUAACACAUGCAAGUCGAGCGGAAAGGCCCUUCGGGGUACUCGAGCGGCGAACGGGUGAGUAACACGUGAGCAACCUGCCCCUGGCUCUGGGAUAGCCUUCGGAAACGGGGAUUAAUACCGGAUAUUCACUGCUUCCUGCAUGGGGGGUGGUGGAAAGUUUUCGGCUGGGGUGGGCUCGCGGCCUAUCAGCUUGGUUGGGGGGUGACGGCCCACCAAGGCGACGACGGGUAG